GCAUCCGUAGCUCAGAGUACUCGGCUACGAACCGAGCGGUCGGAGGUUCGAAUCCUCCCGGAUGCACCA
rnacentral:tRNA from 1 species